CCCGCUCAGAAACUCAAAGGAAUUGACGGGGCCCGCACAAGCGGUGGAGCAUGUGGUUAAUUCGAUGAUACGCGAGGAACCUUACCUGGGCUCAAAUGUAUGUUGACGUAUUCUGAAAGGGAUACUUCUUCGGACAAUAUACAAGGUGCUGCAUGGUUGUCGUCAGCUCGUGCCGUGAGGUGUCGGGUUAAGUCCCAUAACGAGCGCAACCCUAUCAUUAGUUGCCAUCAGGUCAAGCUGGGGACUCUAAUGAAACUGCCUACGCAAGUAGUGAGGAAGGUGGGGAUGACGUCAAAUCAGCACGGCCCUUACGUCCAGGGCUACACACGUGCUACAAUGGCCGGUACAAAGGGCAGCUACCUGGUGACAGGAUGCUAAUCUCAAAAGCCGGUCUCAGUUCGGAUCGGAGUCUGCAACCCGACUCCGUGAAACUGGAAUCGCUAGUAAUCGCGCAUCAGCCAUGGCGCGGUGAAUACGUUCCCGGGCCUU
rnacentral:rRNA from 1 species